rnacentral:sRNA from 2 species
ACUUUUGGAAGGCAGAUUAAGAACUCCGCGUCCUGGGGCAAUGUCUGCAUGACCCUCAUCCUGUUGG